rnacentral:rRNA from 1 species
ACCCGUAGUCAAGAGGGAAACAGCCCAGACCAACAGCUAAGGUCCCGAAUGCCGUACUAAGUGGCAAAGGAGGUGGCGUUUCGAAAACAACCAGGAUGUUGGCUCAGAAGCAGCCAUCAUUAAAAGAGUGCGUAAUAGCUCACUGGUCGAGAGACGCGGCGCCGAAGAUGACCGGGGCUGAAGUACGGAACCGAAGCUUUGGCAUGUAUGGAGACAUACAUGGGUAGGGGAGCGUUCCUGUAUGGGAGAAGCCUGACCGGAAGGACAGGUGGACAGGCAGGAAGCGAGAAUGCCGGUAUGAGUAGCGAAAAGAAAGGUGGGAAUCCUUUCCACCGAAAGCCUAAGGGUUCCUGGGCAACGAUCGUCGACCCAGGGUAAGUCGGGGCCUAAUCCGAGGCGCAGACGCAUAGGAGAUGGACAACAGGUUGAAAUUCCUGUACCGACACCGUCCGAUAGAGCGAGGGAGUGACACAAGAAGGAACGUUCGCAUGCGAAUGGAAGAGCAUGUCCAAGCCGGUAGGUGGCGUAUCAGGCAAAUCCGGUACGCCGAAAGCCGAGAGGUGAUGGGGAGGCUGUAGGGAUACAGAGGAAGGAACGGGGACUCAAUUGUCAAGAAAAGCUUCUAGCGAGGACGGUGGCGCCCGUACCGAAACCGACACAGGUAGGCAGGACGAGAAUUCUAAGGUGCGCGGGAAACCCCUCGUUAAGGAACUCGGCAAAAUGUAUCCGUAACUUCGGGAAAAGGAUAACCCAGAGUAGGUGAAGGAUAGAAACGUCCGGAGCCGAAAUGGGUGGCACAAGAGAGGCCCAAGCGACUGUUUAGCACAAACACAGGCGUCUGCGAAAGAGAAAUCUGAAGUAUAGAUGCUGACACCUGCCCGGUGCUGGAAGGUUAAGAGGACGUGUGAGCCGCAAGGCGAAGCAGAGAAUUGAAGCCCCAGUAAACGGCGGCCGUAACUAUAACGGUCCUAAGGUAGCGAAAUUCCUUGUCGGGUAAGUUCCGACCCGCACGAAAGGUGUAACGAUUUGGGCACUGUCUCAACGAGGGACCCGGUGAAAUUGAAGUACCUGUGAAGAUGCAGGUUACCCGCGACUGGACAGAAAGACCCCAUGGAGCUUUACUGCAACCUGAGAUGGGAUUUGGGUAUAAGACGUACAGGAUAGUUGGGAGGCGUGGAAGUGAGGACGGCAGUUUUCACGGAGCCGGCGGUGGGAUACCAACCUUGUUGUACUGAAAUCCUAACGAGAGCCGUAACGAGGCUUCGGACAGUCUCAGGCGGGCAGUUUGACUGGGGCGGUCGCCUCCGAAAGAGCAACGGAGGCGCCCAAAGGUUCCCUCAGCGCGGACGGAAACCGCGCGCAGAGUGUAAAGGCAGAAGGGAGCUUGACUGCGAGACGGACAGGUCGAGCAGGGACGAAAGUCGGGCUUAGUGAUCCGGUGGAAGAGAGUGGAAUUGCCAUCGCACAACGGAUAAAAGCUACCCUGGGGAUAACAGGCUUAUCUCUCCCAAGAGUCCAUAUCGACGGGGAGGUUUGGCACCUCGAUGUCGGCUCAUCACAUCCUGGGGCUGAAGUAGGUCCCAAGGGUUGGGCUGUUCGCCCAUUAAAGUGGUACGCGAGCUGGGUUCAGAACGUCGUGAGACAGUUCGGUCCCUAUCCAUCGCGGGCGGAAGAAACUUGAAAGGGGCUGCUCCCAGUACGAGAGGACCGGAGUGGACGAACCGCUGGUGUAUCGGUUAUGCCGCCAGGCGUACAGCCGAGUAGCUACGUUCGGGACGGAUAAACGCUGAAAGCAUCUAAGCGUGAACCCGGCCUAAAGAUGAGGUUUCU